rnacentral:rRNA from 1 species
UGGUAUUCCGGUGCAGAGGCGUAGGGAAUACGGGGGAGCCGUGUGUUAUCCGGAUUUAUGGGGUUUAAAGGUGGCGGAGGCGGCUUUAUAAGUCAGGGGUGAAAGACGGCAGCUCAACUGUCGCAGUGCCUUUGAUACUGUAGAGCUUGAAUGUGGUUGAAGAUGGCGGAAUGAGACAAGUAGCGGUGAAAUGCAUAGAUAUGUCUCAGAACUCCGAUUGCGAAGGCAGCUGUCUAAGUCAUUAUUGACGCUGAUGCACGAAAGCGUGGGGAUCGAACAGGAUUAGAUACCCGUGUAGUC